rnacentral:rRNA from 1 species
UUCGGGAGAAGGGGGGCCCCACGGUGUGAAGGUUCUUGCGGCUGGAAGCGUUGUGGGGUCGCAGAGAAUAGAGGGAAGCGACUGUUUAUUAAAAACACAGGUCCGUGCGAAAACGUGGAAGUUGAUGUAUACGGACUGACGCCUGCCCGGUGCUGGAAGGUUAAGGAAGGUGCUUAGAAGUAAUUCGAAGGCAUUGACUGAAGCCCCAGUAAACGGC